UUCUCCCUUUUCUCCUGAUGAAGCUGGAUAUGUGAAACAUGUUGAGAAAGGAGACAUCUGUGAAAAUGUAUUUAAUGGAACCCCUGGACUAAUUGACACGUGUUGUAUACAAAAUUACACCACCUUAAAAGCCACAUUAAGCCAUUAUUUGUCAUUUGUAGUUGGUUCAGGAAUCUGCAAAAAUUGCUUAAUCCCUUGCAAUGUAUAUUACCUGGAGAUGAUUUAAUGCUCUAAUGAGCUGCUUAGUUUCCAGAUAUUGGUUUGUGUAUAUCCUUUGUGUUUGUUUUUUGUUUUUUGCCAGGAUCUGCCUUAAUUCCUGUAAUUUUCUUCUGCCAUUUCAAAUCAAACUGUUAUUGCAUCAGUGGGAUGUUGCACGAUAAAAGUGAAUCUUUACUAUCACUUGAACUAUUGUCAGUGUAUAAUAGAGUAAACCUUUGCAACCCCUUUAA